CGGGGUGUGGCGCAGAUUGGUAGCGCGCUCCGUUCGGGUCGGAGAGGUCAUCGGUUCAAAUCCGGUCACCCCGACUA
rnacentral:tRNA from 1 species